AGAAGAAGGCUCAGAGAGGUUAAGAAACCUGCACAGUGCCACACAGCUCAUCUAACCAGCUCAUCUGGCUGGACCUGAUUGACAGAUUGGAUGCCAAUCAUGAAUGAAAAGAAUGGUUCCUUUGGCUGCAAGACCCAAGGUUAACCAGGACAUCUUCUUCUGAACAACUCUGUGCCUCAAACCUGAUUCCCCUUGGAAGUACCUGAACCGUGCAGAACUUCUAAACAGUGGAAGCCCACCAAACUGACUAAGAAGAUCUGCUCAGGGAGAGAUGAAGGAAAGGUAGAAGGAACACAGGUGGAUGCUUUCCCAUGACCUGAUGACAGUUUUGCACCUCCUGACUCCAGAGCCCAGUUCCUAC